UAAAACUCAAAGGAAUUGACGGGGACCCGCACAAGCGGUGGAUGAUGUGGAUUAAUUCGAUGCAACGCGAAAAACCUUACCUACCCUUGACAUGUACGGAAUCCCUGAGAGAUUAGGGAGUGCUCGAAAGAGAACCGUAACACAGGUGCUGCAUGGCUGUCGUCAGCUCGUGUCGUGAGAUGUUGGGUUAAGUCCCGCAACGAGCGCAACCCUUGUCAUUAGUUGCUACGAAAGGGCACUCUAAUGAGACUGCCGGUGACAAACCGGAGGAAGGUGGGGAUGACGUCAAGUCCUCAUGGCCCUUAUGGGUAGGGCUUCACACGUCAUACAAUGGUACAUACAGAGGGCCGCCAACCCGCGAGGGGGAGCUAAUCCCAGAAAGUGUAUCGUAGUCCGGAUUGUAGUCUGCAACUCGACUACAUGAAGUUGGAAUCGCUAGUAAUCGCGGAUCAGCAUGUCGCGGUGAAUACGUUCCCGGGUCUUGUACACACCGCCCGUCACACCAUGGGAGCGGGUUUCACCAGAAGUAGGUAGCCUAACCGUAAGGAGGGCGCUUACCACGGUGGGAUUCGUGACUGGGGUGAAGUCGUAACAAGGUAGCCGUA
rnacentral:rRNA from 1 species